rnacentral:rRNA from 1 species
GACGAACGCUGGCGGCGUGCCUAAUACAUGCAAGUAGAACGCUGAAGGAAGAACUUGCGUCUCCGGGUGAAUUGCGAACGGAUGAGUAACGCGUACGUGACCUGCCUGGUAACGGGGGAUAACUAUUGCAAACGAUUGCUAAUACCGCCUAAGAGUGGAUGUUGAAUGACAUUUGCUUAUGAGGUGCCCUUGCAUCACUACCAGAUGGACCUGCGAUGAAUUAGCUAGUGGGUGGGGUAACGGCUCACCCAGGCGACUAUACAUAGCCGACCUGGAAGGGUGAUCGGCCUCACUGGGACUGACACACCGCACACACUCCUACGGGAGGCAGCAGUAAGGAAUCUUCGGGAAUGGACGGAAGACUGACCCAUCACCGCCGCGUGAGUGAAGAAUGCUUUCGGAUCGUAACGCUCUGUUGUAAGAAAAGAACAAGUGUGAGAGUGGAAAGUUCACACUGUGACGGUAUCUUAACACAAAGGGACGGUUAACUACGUGCCACCAGCCGCGGUAAUACGUACGACCCGAGCGCUGACCGGAUUUAUUGAGCGUAAAGCGAGCGCAGGCGGUUAGAUAAGUCUGAAGUUAACGGCUGUGGCUUAACCAUAGUAUGCUUUAGAGACUGUUUAACUUGAAUGCAAGAGGGGAGAGUGGAAUUCCAUGUGUAGCGGUGAAAUGCGUAUAUAUAUGGAGGAACACCGGUGGGGAAAGCGGCUCUCUGGCUUGUAACUGACGCUGACGCUCGAAAGCGUGGGGAGCAAACAGGAUUAGAUACCCUGGUAAUCCACGCUGUAAACCAUGAGUGGUAGGUGUUAGACCCUUUCCGGCUGUGUAGUCCGGUAUCUAACGCAUUAACCACUCCGCCUGGGGAGUACGACCGCAGGGUUGAAAUUCAAAGGAAUUGACGGGGGCCCGCACAAGCGGUGGACCAUGUGGUUUAAUUGGAAGCAACGCAAAAAACCUUACCAUGUCUUGACAUCCCUCUGACCACUCUAGAGAUAGAGUUUUCCUUCGGGACAGAGAGUGACAGGUGGUGCAUGGUUGUCCUCAUCUCGUGUCGUGAGAUGUUGGGUUAAGCCCCGCAACGAGCGCAACCCCUAUUGUUAGUUGCCAUCAUUUAGUUGGGCACUCUAGCGAGACUGCCGGUAAUAAACCGGAGGAAGGUGGGGAUGACGUCAAAUCAUCAUGCCCCUUAUGACCUGGGCUACACACGUGCUACAAUGACUGGUACAACGAGUAGCAAGCCGGUGACGGCAAGCUGAUCUCUUAAAGCCAGUCUCAGUUCGGAUUGUAGUCUGCAACUCGCCUACAUGAAGUCGGAAUCGCUAGUAAUCGCGGAUCAGCACGCCGCGGUGAAUACGUUCCCGGGCCU